rnacentral:misc_RNA from 1 species
UCCGGUUUGUCACCGGCAGUCUCCUUAGAGUUCCCACCAUUACGUGCUGGCAACUAAGGACAAGGGUUGCGCUCGUUGCGGGACUUAACCCAACAUCUCACGACACGAGCUGACGACAGCCAUGCAGCACCUGUGUUCGCAUUCCCGAAGGCACCCGCCCAUCGCUGGGCAGUUCGCGACAUGUCAAGACCAGGUAAGGUUCUGCGCGUUGCAUCGAAUUAAACCACAUACUCCACCGCUUGUGCGGGCCCCCGUCAAUUCCUUUGAGUUUCAGUCUUGCGACCGUACUCCCCAGGCGGCGAACUUAACGCGUUAGCUUCGACACUGAGAGCCAAAUUGCUCCCAACGUCCAGUUCGCAUCGUUUAGGGCGUGGACUAC